rnacentral:tRNA from 1 species
AGGGUUGUAGCUCAGUGGUACAGUGCUUGCCUAGCAAGUGUGAGGCACUGGGUUUGAUUCUCAGCAACACAU